rnacentral:rRNA from 1 species
GACGAACGCUGGCGGCGUGCUUAACACAUGCAAGUCGAACGGAAAGGCCCGGCUUUUGUGGGGUGCUCGAGUGGCGAACGGGUGAGUAACACGUGAGUAACCUGCCCUUGACUGUGGGAUAACUUCAGGAAACUGGGGCUAAUACCGGAUAGGAGCUCCUGCUGCAUGGUGGGGGUUGGAAAGUUUCGGCGGUUGGGGAUGGACUCGCGGCUUAUCAGCUUGUUGGUGGGGUAGUGGCUUACCAAGGCUUUGACGGGUAGCCGGCCUGAGAGGGUGACCGGCCUCAAUGGGACUGCGGUACGGCCCAGACUCCUACGGGAGGCAGCAGUGGGGAAUAUUGCGGAAUGGGCGGAAGCCUGAUGCAGCGACGCCGCGUGCGGGAUGACGGCCUUCGGGUUGUAAACCGCUUUCGCCUGUGACGAGGCGUGAGUGACGGUAAUGGGUAAGGAAGCACCGGCUAACUACGUG